ACUUGAUCCAUGAACUCCUUGUAGAAGAUCACCCCUUUGAAAUUGAGCAAGAGUUGGAGUUUUUUUCCCACAUUCUGAAACAUCGGAAAGUUCAACUUUCGGCCGAAGGAUUCUUCAUUUUGGACCUGAAGAUUUUAACGAAGAUGAUGUGCACUCUUGUUCCUCUCAUCCUGAUUCUAGUCCAGAGGAGGAAUCGAACCAAAACUGCUUGAAACAAAUCUCAAAAACCGUAGAAACUAG